rnacentral:rRNA from 1 species
CCUACGGGCGGCAGCAGUGAGGAAUAUUGGUCAAUGGACGAGAGUCUGAACCAGCCAAGUAGCGUGAAGGAUGACUGCCCUAUGGGUUGUAAACUUCUUUUAUAUGGGAAUAAAAUGUUCCACGUGUGGGAUUUUGUAUGUACCAUAUGAAUAAGGAUCGGCUAACUCCGUGCCAGCAGCCGCGGUAAUACGGAGGAUCCGAGCGUUAUCCGGAUUUAUUGGGUUUAAAGGGAGCGUAGGUGGUUUGUUAAGUCAGUUGUGAAAGUUUGUGGCUCAACCGUAAAAUUGCAGUUGAAACUGGCAGUCUUGAGUACAGUAGAGGUGGGCGGAAUUCGUGGUGUAGCGGUGAAAUGCUUAGAUAUCACGAAGAACUCCGAUUGCGAAGGCAGUUCACUGGACUACAACUGACACUGAGGCUCGAAAGUGUGGGUAUCAAACAGGAUUAGAUACCCUGGUAGUC